rnacentral:rRNA from 1 species
AGUGAACGCUGGCGGUGGGCCUAACACAUGCAAGUCGAACGGCAGCACAGUAAGAGCUUGCUCUUACGGGUGGCGAGUGGCGGACGUGUGAGGAAUACAUCGGAAUCUACUUUUUCGUGGGGGAUAACGUAGGGAAACUUACGCUAAUACCGCAUACGACCUACGGGUGAAAGCAGGGGAUCUUCGGACCUUGCGCGAUUGAAUGAGCCGAUGUCGGAUUAGCUAGUUGGGGGGGUAAAGGCCCACCAAGGCGCGGAUCCGUAGCUGGUCUGAGAGGAUGAUCAGCCACACUGGAACUGAGACACGGUCCAGACUACUACGGGAGGCAGCAGUGGGGAAUAUUGGGCAAUGGGCGCAAGCCUGAUCCAGCCAUACCGCGUGUGUGAAGAAGGCCUUCGGGUUGUAAAGCCCUUUUGUUGGGAAAGAACAGCAGCAGGUUAAUACCCAGCUGUUCUGACGGUACCCAAAGAAUAAGCACCGGCUAACUUCGUG